AUGUUGGAGAAUUUGAACAGCCCUAUGCAGAAGAAUGAGACUGGUCCAGGUCCUUACACCAGACACACAAGUGAACUGAAAAUGGAUGAAAUACCUAUAUGUGAGAAAGGAAUCCAUCAGAACCCUGACAGUAACCUCCCUGAUAUUGUCCAGACCAAAGUCUUACAAGACAUUUUUCCAAAGGUUUUCCUUGUUGCUAUUUUAAAAGGUGUCCAGGGUGAGUUGCAGCUGGUAGAGUCUGGGGGAGACCUGGUGAAGCCUGGGGGGUCUCUGAGACUUUCUUGUGUGUCCUCUGGAUUCACCUUCAGUAGCUACUGGAUGCACUGGGUCCUCCAGGCUCCAGGGAAAAGGCUGGAGUGGGUCGCAAUUAUUAACAGUGGUGGAGGUAGCAUAUACUACGCAGACACAGUGAAGGGCCGAUUCACCAUCUCCAGAGAAAACGCCAAGAACACGCUCUAUCUGCAGAUGAACAGCCUGAGAGCUGAGGACAGGGCCAUGCAUUACUGUGCGAAGGGACACAGCGAGGGGACCUCAGUGUGA